AUUAAAGCGACAGAGAUCUCGAGAAGAAAGUGAAAAGAGAUAAGACGCUGGGAAAGACUUCUGCUUAUUUUGCACUUGAGGAUGAUGAGCAAAUAGCAAUAACAAACUGGAGAGCAGCUCCCUGCACGGUCAUUGUAGGCCUUCACGGACAGGUUUCAAACAAGUGCAUCAAUCCCGUUAAAAUUAACUCUGGUUUUGAGAAGAUGAUAGCAUUGCAAAUAUAUACCUGACUUCCAGUGCUUGUGCAGUUUUAAAGUGUUUUUUAAAAGUCUCACUGUUUCAACCAUAUACAUCAAGCAAGCCCGUAACAGAGAAACACACUUUAAGACAAAGGGGAAUAUUUGCUUAUCAGUUGCCAUGUGACUUUUCUGACAACCAAUGAAUGCAUUAUAUUGAUGAAAUGAACAAGUCUCUAUCUGGUCAUUUUCAACUUGAAACUAAUAACCACCAUCAUGAAAUCAGGCAUGCAAUAAGCCAGGUUAAAACGGAGUUCAUCAAAUAAAUCACUCAGGAAUUUUUCUAUUUCUUUCCCAAGACACGUUGCACAUCUGCUUGGUACAAGGAGGAAAGAAGUAAUAUUUCUUUGAUCAUCUUUUUUAAAAAUAUUGUUGUACCUGUCUUUUGGGAGUUUUUUGCUGGACCCAAUCCUAGAAGAUGUAUGGUGCAUUCACAGAACUGGACCUUUUUCAAGUGAGUGUUGGGUCGUUGCCUUAUGAUUACAAACCAAAACAUAAGGCAUUUUGACGGCAGUUUGAUGUAUAGCACAAAGCACAAUACAAUCAAGUGAUCAGAAGCCAAUAAAUAUACUC